rnacentral:sRNA from 1 species
UGUCUCUGAAGUGCUCUGAGCUUGCGUG